AGUUUGAAGGGUAUUUUCGGUUUAACUUCUUUGAUUCUACAUAACUAAUUUAUUCAUUUUCGUGUUUUAUUUUUUUAUUUAAUACCUUUAAAUUUUGGAAUGUGUCAAUUGCUAUAAUUUUUUCUUCAUGGACUUUAUAAGCUGAGGAAUAAGAACUUGUUUGCAGACCAAAGGUCAAUCGUGCAUACCUAACAAAAGUUUAUGAGAGAUGAUCAGGCGUUAGAUUUUAAUGUUUGGCUGUGUGUUAAUUGUUAAUUUUAUACUAUAAAUGGUAUAGUUAACUCACCGUCAGGUACUUCGAUAAAAUUUUAAAUAAAUAAAGGCACAGAUUUCUAUUGGACACUCAAAACGAACGAUCCAAACGUUACGC